GGGGGAAUAUUGGACAAUGGGCGCAAGCCUGAUCCAGCCAUGCCGCGUGAGUGAAGAAGGCCUUCGGGUUGUAAAGCUCUUUUGUCCGGAAAGAAAAGUUCCCGGUUAAUACCCGGGGAUCAUGACGGUACCGGAAGAAUAAGCACCGGCUAACUUCGUGCCAGCAGCCGCGGUAAUACGGGGGGAGCAAGCGUUGUUCGGAUUUACUGGGCGUAAAGGGCGCGUAGGCGGCGCAACAAGUCACUUGUGAAAUCUCCGGGCUUAACUCGGAGCGGCCAAGUGAUACUGUCGUGCUAGAGUGCGGAAGGGGCAACUGGAAUUCUCGGUGUAGCGGUGAAAUGCGUAGAUAUCGAGAGGAACACCUGCGGCGAAGGCGGGUUGCUGGGCCGACACUGACGCUGAGGCGCGAAAGCCAGGGGAGCGAA
rnacentral:rRNA from 1 species